CCUACGGGUGGCAGCAGUGGGGAAUAUUGCGCAAUGGGGGCAACCCUGACGCAGCAACGCCGCGUGAUUGAAGAAGGCCUUCGGGUUGUAAAGAUCUUUAAUCGGGGACGAAUUUUGACGGUACCCGAAGAAUAAGCUCCGGCUAACUACGUGCCAGCAGCCGCGGUAAUACGUAGGGAGCAAGCGUUAACCGGAUUUACUGGGUGUAAAGGGCGUGUAGGCAGGCAGGCAAGCGAGCUGUGAAAUGUGGGGGCUGAACCCCCGACCUGCUGUGGGAACUGAGGGGCUUGAGUGCGCGGAAAGCAGGCGGAAUUCGUGGUGUAGCGGUGAAAUGCUUAGAUAUGACGAAGAACCCCGAUUGCGAAGGCAGCUUGCUGCAGAGGAACUGACGCUGAGGCUCGAAAGCGCGGGGAUCGAACAGGAUUAGAUACCCGGGUAGUC
rnacentral:rRNA from 1 species